UUGACUGACAAUUACUUUUGUUUGGUCUCUUUGUUUCGGCCUUGUCCUCCUGCUUUUUUUAUUAGCUUGGGCCUAAAAACGAUACGGGGUAAAAAUGUAAUUUACUAAGGAAAUCAAUGCUGAGAACGCGUUUCGUUGUUCUACAACUAAAUCGAUGAAGGUAAAAAAAAAAUGGGAAACAGCCGAGAACCCCUGAGAAACCUUCUUCGCAGUCCGAAAAUUUGUCGAAUCUUCCGCAGCAGAUCUCUUCCAAAACCAUGCGUCAAUGACAGUAUUGUGAGUGCCUUCGGAUGGUACGAAACUGUGGAUGAGAGCUCAAACUUUACUAGGGACAUGCUGUAACUUGUACGUGAAAUUUUUGCAUGAGAAAUUGAUCUGGAUUGGGCUGCAUUUUUUAAA